ACAAAACACGGCGAACACACGGGAGUGUUGUGUUUUUCAGUCCGUAGAUUCGCGUUCCUCAGCGAAUCAAGAUAAUCAAGUGGCAAAAGCUACAAUAUUAGCUGAAUAAAUCAACUGAAUCACCUUUUCUCUGGUGAAAUGGGGUAAUAACAUUGAUUUUGGUCAACGUUGGUCGGAUCGCCGCAACUCCUUUGCACAACACUUGUCGCCGGUGCUGCCCUGAGUGCCCUGAGCAAGCCCUGAGUUGCCCUGAUGUCCUCUCUGCAUCUGCACUUCUGCAGCCUCUGGACUCUGGACCUGCAAAAUCUGCAAAGAGGAACAAGUUUGCGGAACGAUAAUAACAAUAUUGCUAAAUUCGGCCGAUUCGGUGCCGAUUCGCCCGCCGUCAUAGUCGUCAUACAAAAUUGCGCAAAAUUGACUCUGCGUAUAUGUAAUAAUUUAUCUCAAACACCUUUUCUUUUUGUUUCAGCCGCCAAGUUUGUAGCAAUUUUGCAAUUUUGCUCAGUCGAUUCUGUUGGCGAAAACGAAUCUCUCUUCAGAGCCACCUGCACCGCCAACCUCCUGAAAUCAGGCAGGGGCUGCGUCCGACUUUGUUGGUGAAUCUGGCUGAGCGACGAAUAUGCCUCCUCAUGUCAGCUGCGCCACUACAUUCGGUGGCUAGAGACUCAUGAAAGAUUUGAGAAUCUAAGAACAGCUCAGAACUUUGUCGCUGCUUCCAAGCCCACAAGGAGUCGCAAGAAACGCGAUCCCAAGCCUCCCACGGUGCAGCUGAGGAGAUCUCCUUGUUUCAAGCAGGAUCCUCCUGAGGAAGCCUCAACCAGCGGAGCGGUCGCGCUUCUGGUGGCUAAUCUGACCAGCACACCUGUAACCUCGCCUGUCACCAGCGAAGCCUCUGAUGAAGGCAGUGACGUCGAUCGACUCUGACUUUGAACCAGAAGCUGUGGAGCAAACCAUUUGAUGGAUAGACAGGCGCCUCUCAGGUCUGGUGAUUUACCCGCUGCAAAAUUUGGACCAGUCAAAAGAAGGGAAAAGAAGGCACUGAGAUGACUGCGGCUCCUUGCCUUGGUCCAGUGAAAAAUUUUGUUUGAAGCUCUCCAAAACCCUGAAUUUAUUUACUCACAGACUGAUCUUUGCAAAUUCUGGACCUUUUGAACUGCGCCGACCAUACUUAUGGUCGACACAUGAAUUGGGUUUGGCGCCUGAUAUGGAUGGGCGGUACUCGGCUAAGAGAUUAAUUGAUUCAUGGUCCCAGAGAGGGAGCAGGCAAAUAUGAAUGGAGGAAAAUUACUAAUUUAGAAUUAUCUUUGGUUCUGCUUUUCCACGCAGGGAGGAAGGUAAAGGAGAAAUUGGAUAAAGGAUCAGGCAAUUGAACAAGGACCAGCAAUUUGUAAAUAAUUAACUACUCUCUUUAUUAUGUUUUAAAUUAUGUCUACAAGGUAGACGUUUGUAUUACUUUGCUGUAAACAAAAUCAUGUUUGUUUUCGAAAUAAAAAGCUUCUUCUAUUUCACA